GCAGAUUGGGAUUUCCUCUAGGAUUUUGACUGUUCGUAAGCGCCAUUCAGUUGACUUUUUAUCCUGAAAAACAUGUCGCAGCCCCCACUAUGUUUGAAAAUAUGGAGAGUGGUAUUCAGUAAUGUGUUGUAUUUGAUUUACCCCCAAAAGAACACUUUGUAUUCAUGACAAAAAAGUGAAUUGCUUUGGCACAUUUUUUGCAGUAUUACUUUAGUGCCCUGUUGCAAACAGGAUGCAUGUUUUGGAAUAUUUUUUAUUCUGUACAGGGUUCCUUCUUUUCACUCUAUCAGUUAGGUUAGUAAUUGUGGAGGAACUACAAUGUUGUUGAGCCAUCCUCAGUUUUCUCCUAUCACAGGCAUUCAACUAUGUAACUGUUUUAAAGUCAUCAUUGGCCUCAUGGUGAAAUCCAUGAGCGGUUUCCUUCCUCUCCGGCAACUGAGUUAGGAAGGAUUCCUGUAUCUUUGUAGUGACUGGGUGUAUUGAUUCAGUGUAAUUAAUAUAUUCACCAUGCUCAAAGGGAUAUUCAAUGUCUGCUUUUUAUAUUUUCCCCCCAUCUACCAAUACUGUAGGUGCCCUUCUUUGCAAGGCAUUGAAAAACCUCCCUGAUCUUUGUGGUUGAAUCUGUUUGAAAUUCACUGCUCAACUGAGAGAUCUUACAGGAAAGACCUGUGAUAUAGAGAUGCUACAGUCCAUGGACGUCCUGACAGACGACGAGAAGGCUUGGGGCCUGGACUUCUUCAAGGAAAGUGCAUUUCAUCACUCCAAAGACCAAUUAUGGAACAUUUCAUCAACCAAUUAUGACUCUUAUUUAGGUUUCACAGUUUGCAUUUGGUUGGGAUGGUUCUAUAGGGGAGGAUUAGUGUCACGCUGUACCUCGAAGAGGGUGAUACAUUUUUCUCAUGCUGGAAUAGAUAAAACAUAUUUUUAAUAAACUCAUAUCCUUUACUCAUUAGUCAACUUUAAAAGUCACACGUUUCCAGACUGAAUUAAUAUAACCGAUCCAGGAUUUCGUUUUUGAUUAGGGGAAAAAGUAAUUGUAAAAACUGUUUAGAAAUAUGUUUACCUGAAUGGAUCAGUAGUACAAUAUACUGUAAUAAAGAUUGAGUAGACAUUUUAUAUUGCAGUAGUUCAUGAAUAAUGAACAGGGACACUAAGACUGCUGGUUCCGAAGAUUUCCUUCUGGAAAAAUCAUGUUUCAAUACAGGUGUAGAGGAACAUUCAUUUUAAUUUAAAUAUAUUUCUCCACUCUUGUAUUCAUCAUGUAUACAGCUACUCCUGUCUUAUGUCAAUAGUACUAUCAUCCAGCUUCACACAUGCAAUAUUUGAUGAGACACUAUGAAUGAAUAAAUAAUAUUGUAUGGCUUAA